GACGAACGCUGGCGGCGUGCUUAACACAUGCAAGUCGAGCGGUAAGGCUCCUUCGGGAGUACACGAGCGGCGAACGGGUGAGUAACACGUGAGCAACCUGCCCUUCUCAUCGGAAUAAGCGUUGGAAACGACGUCUAAUGCCGAAUAUGACAACGGACCGCAUGAUCUGUUGUGGAAAGCUCCGGCGGAGAAGGAUGGGCUCGCGGCCUAUCAGCUUGUUGGUGGGGUAACGGCCCACCAAGGCGACGACGGGUAGCCGGCCUGGGAGGGUGACCGGCCAAACUGGACUGAGACACGGCCCAGACUCCUACGGGAGGCAGCAGUGGGGAAUAUUGGACAAUGGGCGAAAGCCUGAUCCAGCAACGCCGCGUGAGGGAUGACGGCCUUCGGGUUGUAAACCUCUUUCAGCAGGGACGAAGCGAAAGUGACGGUACCUGCAGAAGAAGGACCGGCCAACUACGUGCCAGCCGCCGCCGUAACAC
rnacentral:rRNA from 1 species